rnacentral:tRNA from 1 species
UGAUGUAGAGCUUGAUUAGUUAAGCAAUUCAUUUACAUUGAAUUUAUAGUCGUGCAAAUCGAUUUACAUUAA